CUGGAACGCACGGACCUCCGCCGCUGCCCAGGGAUAAUACUCUCGCUUUCUCCGUCUGUGCCGCUGCAGAACGGACCGUAAAGCUGCAUGCUGCCUCUUCAUCCCCGCUGAAACCCAGACUCCGAUCAAGAUCUACUUCUGAGACUUCUUGCUUUCGGCCUGUGGAGAAAGAACCAAUAGCCUGGACAACAUCUGCUUCCCUGUGUGAGUGGACACUGGGACUCCAAAUCCAAUUUGACCACAACACGCACACUUUAGAGCACAAAGAAGACUACAGUUUAAACAGCUUUCUGGAAAAGUAAAGACGAAGAUUUAGCUUUUAAAGUCCUGGCUUGAUACAUCUACAGAACGUCAAAGUCAUAUAUAGAAAUUCAACACCAUCCUGAUCCAGGAGGCUCAGCUGAAGCUCUCUCCAGACGGUCCUCGUACUGACAGAACUGCCCUCCCUGCUGCUCUCUGAAGUUCAGUUAAUCAACUAAGGUAGAGGUACUCAUUAACUGCUCAGCUGGUGGUCAGGCCAGGAGUUCACCCAGAGAAUCGUGUACACACAGGCUUUCAUCGCUGACGACUUGCAGAGGAUCUUAGGACAUCAAAUUUAAGGUAAUUAUUCCCAUUGUCCUGUGUUCUGUGCAAUGCAGUGUGUGCCAUCUUUAUGGAUCAAAGAGGCUUGAUUCAGGACGGCAAAUUAUCCUCCAUUAUGUGACAUGUAUAGGCUGUAUAGGAGUAAAUAAGAGUUCCAGACAGAAGUUUAUGGAGGAUACAUUGAGCAUCCUGCAGUAUAGGAGCAUAACAAGUCAGCUCCCGGUUAGCCAGAGAGUCCAUCUAUGUCAGUGUGUCCUUGACUAAACCACACAAGGGCCCUGCGGCUGUUUUGUGCUAUAACUAAAAUAUUUCCUUUCCUCAUUAAGUGAACAUGUAUUAUAUGGCAUUCCUUUUUGACUACCUGUAUAUAUAACACGGGUUUGUGUGUGAUUAUUUGAACCACAUGCAAGGUGACAUGUUUGAACAAAGUUUUAUUUUCAAUGCUGCAAGGCCAUGAGCUAAAUAUCUUUCAAAUCCAUACCGUUGUCACGGGUCAGUUGGACUGUUUCUGAUCUCACAGAAGUGUAAUCAAUCAACAAUACAUCUGUUGGAAAAUUGACUCCGAGCCAAAAUAGCUAAACGAACUGCCAUGAAAUGUGGAACACAUAUGCAUGUAUGUGUCAAUGACUAAACUGUUACCCUGACAACCGCAUUCAGAAAAAAAAAACCUCCUUAUUAACGUGAGCAACAACAGACUUGGAAGCUGAACAUAAAAUGUUAUUAAAAAAAAAAAACAGUAAAAAAAAAAAAAAAAGGAAUUAAGGACAAAGGGCAUGUUGGUCUCAGUGUUUGACUGACAAGUGAUCUUUAAAGAGUAAGGUGCAGUGUUGCAAAAUGCAAGAAACGAGAACCUCACAGAUUACCACUUUAAAUGUCAAAAGCAAAAAUGCAAAUGAGGCAUAAUAACUGCCUGCCCUGCCAAUUAUACCUAGAUUGGCUGCAGUUUGGAUGGAGUCUCCCUCUACAUUAAUCUCUAUAGGUUUUAACAUUUCACUUGAAGCUGUGAUGGCGUUUGUCACCUGAGUCGACACAGCCGUCAGCUUUGUCACAAUCCGUGCCGUGACAGAUGUGUGGUUUGGCCCACAGUGUGUCAAUCCCAGUGGGCAGCAGAGCACCACUAUUUUGUAGCUAUUGAGCCACAAUUGCAGUAUUAAUUAUUGUGUUUUUGAAGAACAAUGUAAUAUGACAAGAUUGGGUAGGAAAAACGGGCAAGAAAGAAGUCGUACUACUUUAAGCCAGCAAUGGUUUAUUGGAUGUCAUCCACUGAGAAAAGUGUAGAUUUGACGACGGGUUGGUCGUGGAAUAAGGAUCAGGGUUGAGCAGUGGCAUGA